UUCAUUUCUAAUUCAAUUUUUCUCAAGUACUCUUCUUACGCUUUGUUUUGUGAAACCCUAGAAACUUGUUUCUGUAGAAUUGAUUUGCUGGGUUCAUCAACCUAAUAUCAAUCUUCUAAUCUUUCAUAACUCUUGAAACCAUUCUCACAUGGUAUCAAGAGCACAGGUUCAGAUCCAUGGCUCUCACUCUUUCUUCAAUCAAUUCCAAGAAUUUUCUUUCCUCAAUCACAGACAAGCUCAAUGAAUCGAAUUAUGUAACCUGGCAGCAGCAUGCCCUGUUUGCUUUUGGUGGACAGAACCUAGAAGAUCAUAUUCAAGAAGGCAAGGCACCGCCACAAUUUGAAUAUGAUGCUGCUCAAGCUGCUGGUACUAUUUCUGCAAAGUAUACUGAUUGGAUUCAACAAGAUUACAAUUUGUGUUCUUAGAUUCUUGUGCCUGUCAAUCCAUCAAUCAAGAAUCGAAUUGCAUACUGCAUGGGUGCUCUUGAGAUCUGGCAGAAGUUGCAACUCUAGUUUGCUGAAAAUACCAAAUAAAAAAUCAAACAACUUCGCCAUCAACUCAAAUCCAUCAAGAAAAGGAAUCUUUAAGUUUCUGAGUAUCUUUCAAAAAUCAAAGGUCUUGUUGAUUCUCUAAUUGCUAUUGGAUAUCAUAUCAACAAUGAAGAUUACAUUGAAACCAUUUGUAAUGGACUUCCUGAAGAUUUCAAGUUGUAUCACAUUGGUGCAAGCAAAACCUGAGUUGUUCAGUAUCGGAGAGAUUGAGAAUAUGCUUCUUUCUCAUGAAGAUACAAUUGACAAAUUCAAACAAGCUUCUUUUCCUACAGCUCAAGUGAAUCUAACUUAAUCUGCACCUACCAAUCCAAGAAUGUAUGCUAGAGGCUUUGGAGGAAGAAGAGGUGCACGUGGUGCUCUAGUGAUUCUGCUUGGUAUCCAGACACUGGUGCCACCAAUCAUCUUACUAAUGACUCUUCAAGCUUGAUCUCAACCUCUAAUUACAUUGGCCCGGAUCAACUAUAUCUUGCUCCGUUCAGAUGCAAAUUGGGCAAAUGACCCUGAUAAUAGAAGAUUCAUUGCAGCUCCUUCAGUCAUGGAUCUUCUUGCAGUUCCUGGUUUCCAGCCUGAUGGAUUUGAUGUCUUUUAUUGGCAUUGGUGUUGAGUUUAUGUGGAUGCCAUACAACUCGCAUGAUGUUAUUCAGGUGGUGCAUCCCAAGAUAUAAGAGCCACGACAUAUGGCAUUGUGGAGGCUGCGAUGGCAUUGAUCUACUUUGUUGACGUAGAGUGGCAUCAAGUGGAUUAGGUGCUACCGCAGCUUGGUGGAGUAUAGCAUUGAUCCCGUGUCGUCCUCGAUAUCGAUUGUGUUGAAGGAUGGCAAAGGCAGAGAUCGGUGGUUUUCCAAUAUCUUAUAGAGUUGGCACAUUCAUUGGACCAACAAGGCGCAACAUGUGUUACGGUUUGAUAUUGUUCCAAAGCCAGGACCUUCAUAUGUGUACUUGGAGUGGUGGCAUGAGCAUGAAAAGAGACUCUUGUUGCCUCAGCUCCUCCUCGGUGACUCCAAGGCAGUUGUGAUCCCAACUGAAGCAAUGCAGAGAGGUCUAUGAUGUUUCUAAUAUGGAUCAGGUUCCUAAUGUACCAAACAAACAUUGUGUUGAGCGAAGACGUCAUGUUGGGACACGUUCGGGUCAGCGUGAGUGGAGGUUGCUUGACGAUGCGAGUGAUGCAUUGGAAGGCAGGGGUCGAGGCCGAAAAGGAGCUAGGGGUCAUGGCCAACGGGGAGGGAGGGGUGGUGGUCCUAGUAGAGCUUGACGUGGAAGGAUAGGCAGAGAUGAUGAUGAUGGUGGUGGUGACGACGAUAGUGAUGGUGAGGAUGAUGGUGGAGAUGAUGGCAAUGAUAACGGUUGUGAUGGAGGUGGUAGACGAGGACACAAUGGUGGAGGAGGACAUGAUGGUAGAGAUGUUGGUGGUAUGGGUGGUGGUGGGUAUGGAGGGGGUGGCAAAGGACAUGAUGGUGGAGAUGCUGGUGGUAUGGAGGGGGUGGCAGAGGCCCUACAGGCAGAUAUGAUGGAGGGAUGGGUGGGCGUUAUGGAGGAGAUGAGGGAGAUUGUGGUGAUGUAGCAGAUGUUGGUGGAGAUUGUUGCGGUGAUGGUGUAGAUGUUGGUUAUGGUGGUGGUAGAUUAGGUGGCGAUGGAGGUGGCGGGGAUGGUGGUGGAAGGUUUGGUGAUUAUUUUUGUCAGGGUUUCCAGCAGCGACGAGGCAGUGCAUGAGAUCCAGACAUAUAUUAGCCUAAGUGAGAUACUAUCGGACUUGCUUGGCAAUGAGGGCCUUGACGCGGAGUUUGGAGGGUCACGCUUCCUUGAUGAGAUUAGCGUUACUAUGCAGGAGGAUGACUUGGCGCGAUGCAGAUAUCCGGUAGCCGGGCCCGAGACACACCUAGAUGUGGAUCUGAAUGAGCCUCCUUCCGAACAUUUGGAUGACACAUUCGCAAUGGGCGGGACUCCCCCCUCGCAUUCACCACAGAUCCCCUGGCACAUCCCGGUCCAUCUACGUUAGCGGAGCGCAUGUUUGGGUGUGCAUAUUGUAAUUGGUUUGUCUAUAUGAAUAAUUAUGUUUAACUGCUAAUUGCUAUACUUGAUGUAACUGUUUUGAUUGUGUUUGAACCUUUCUACUUAUGUUUGUGACUGAAA